GGUGCGCGGGCGCGCGCUCUCCGCAGACUGGUUGAGCUAGCGGGAGAGGCCCGGGGCACGUGCAGACGGGAGCCCCGCGAGUGGCGCGCCGGGGAUGUGAGUGCCCCUUGCCCUCUACGGCACCUAGCCCCCUCCCCGCCCACUGCCUCCGCUUUUGCAUUUUUACAGUAAUCCGACCGGGCCCGCGCCCCUCCUCCCGUCAGCCAGCGAAAGAGGCCGUUUGGAUCCCGGUCAGCCUGACUGCGUUGGCCCCGGUUCCGGCCGAUCGGCUAGGGAGGCCCGCCGCGCCCCCUCUGCCCGCGCGCCUGUAGCGGCAGCGGAAGAGGCACCCGCGCCGCGCAGUUUUCCGGAGGGGCCGCCGCGCGCCCGCUUCCUGUUCGGCUGCGUCCAGCCAGGUCGAGGACAAAACACGCGUGCGCGCGCCGGACGGCAGGGCGCGCUCGCUGCCUCAGCCACCCGCGCUGGGCGCAGUCCGCCUUUUUCCGGAGCAGCGCGGCCCCGGUGCCAAUCGAUAGCAGCAGCUCCGCACUGGGGGACCGAGGGCGGAAAAAGGCGGGGUUGACGGCUCUUUGCUGGGAGUGGGCUGGACCGGACGCCAGAGACAAAGGCUCUCAAGGCAAGAGGGGCUGUGACGCUGCUCGGGAUUUUUGGCCCAGGACUUUUCGCCCCUUCGUUUUUCUCUUCUGACGCUCUUUUCCCAAGCCCGCGUCCCCUCACCCGCGACCUCGCUCCUCAGCGGAAGGGCCGCGAUGGAGGUCCCGCCCCGGCUUUCCCAUGUGCCGCCGCCAUUGUUCCCCUCCGCUCCCGCUACUUUAGCCUCCCGCAGCCUCUCCCAUUGGCGGCCGAGGGCGCCGCGGCAGCUCGCCCCGCUCCUCCCUUCGCUCGCUCCCAGCUCCGCCCGGCAGGGGACGCGCCGGGCCCAGCGCCACGUCACCGCCCAGCAGCCCUCCCGAUUGGCGGGCGGGGCGGCUAUAAAGGGAGGGCGCAGGCGGCGCCCGGAUCUCUUCCGCCGCCAUUUUAAAUCCAGCUCUAUACAACGUUCUGCCGCCGCUGCUUCCGCUACACGGAUUGCGCGCCAGCGCCUCCCGGCCGACAACUCAGCCGCUAUGGAAGACAUGAACGAGUACAGCAACAUAGAGGAAUUCGCAGAGGGAUCCAAGAUCAACGCGAGCAAGAAUCAGCAGGAUGACGGUAAAAUGUUUAUUGGAGGCUUGAGCUGGGAUACAAGCAAGAAAGAUCUGACUGAAUAUUUGUCUCGAUUUGGGGAAGUUGUAGACUGCACAAUUAAAACAGAUCCAGUCACUGGAAGAUCAAGAGGAUUUGGAUUUGUGCUUUUCAAAGAUGCUGCUAGUGUUGAUAAGGUUUUGGAAAUGAAAGAACACAAGCUGGAUGGCAAAUUGAUAGACCCUAAAAGAGCCAAAGCUUUAAAAGGGAAGGAACCCCCUAAAAAGGUUUUUGUGGGUGGAUUGAGCCCAGAUACUUCAGAAGAACAAAUUAAAGAGUAUUUUGGAGCCUUUGGAGAGAUUGAAAAUAUUGAACUUCCCAUGGAUACAAAAACAAAUGAAAGAAGAGGAUUUUGUUUUAUUACAUAUACAGACGAAGAGCCAGUAAAGAAAUUGUUAGAAAGUAGAUAUCAUCAAAUUGGUUCUGGGAAGUGUGAAAUCAAAGUUGCACAACCCAAAGAGGUAUAUAGGCAGCAACAGCAACAACAAAAAGGAGGAAGAGGUGCUGUAGCUGGUGGACGAGGUGGUACUAGGGGUCGUGGCCGAGGUCAGGGCCAAAACUGGAACCAAGGAUUUAAUAACUAUUAUGAUCAAGGAUAUGGAAAUUACAAUAGUGCCUAUGGUGGUGAUCAAAACUAUAGUGGCUAUGGCGGCUAUGAUUAUACUGGGUAUAACUAUGGGAACUAUGGAUAUGGACAGGGAUAUACAGACUACAGUGGCCAACAGAGCACUUACGGCAAGGCAUCUCGAGGGGGUGGCAAUCACCAAAAUAAUUACCAGCCAUACUAAAAGGGGACGUUGGAGAAAACAGCGGGAACUUCAUUGCAGGCCGUGUGUCACCCUGACCACGUCUAUCUCUGGGGGUCGCACGUUGCGGGCAGAGCGCAAGGCAUACACCAGAAAACGCUGUCCUGUGGAAGAGAUUGCUAAAGUAACCCAUCUUGCAGGACGACAUUGAAGAUUGGUCUUCUGUUGAUCUAAGAUGAUUAUUUUGUAAAAGACUUUAUAGUGUACAAGACACAACUGUGUCCAACUGUAUAUAGCCGCCAAUUAGUUUUUGUUCUUACUUUGUCUUUUGCUAUCUGUGUUAUGACUCGACGUGGAUUUGUGUUUAUACAAAUUUUAUUUGUAUGAUUUCAUGUUAAACCUCAAAUAAAUGCUUCCUUAUGUGAUUGUUUUUCUGCGUCAGGUACUAAAUAGCUCUGUAAAAGUGUAAUUUUAAAUAAGCAAUAAUUAAGGCACAGUUUAUUUUGUAGGGAGUGUUGAUCCAUAGGGAGAAACUGGUCCUUUACGAAUAGCCAGCUACAGUGUCUACUCUGUUCUCUUUUUGUUAGAUGUAUUCUAUGUUCUAAGGCUUCAUUUCCCUGUUAACUGAGGCUUCCACAUACCUUUAAGUAAUGUUGUUUUCUCUCUGUAUAUCUGGAGACUUUGUCAUGAAAGUUUCUGUGGCGUAGUUAUAGUGUUGUGAUGAGUGGAAGCUUUCUAGUAGACCGUAAGUCUUCUGGUUAUAUUUUGAAAAGUAACUGUUUAAUGGCACAAAGCAUGCUGGUAGCUCCUUUUAUGAAUAGAAAAUAUUUUGCUUUGUUCUUGUCUCUGGAAAGGCAUUUGUUAUGACUUGCUGUAUUCAGUGGUCUGCUAGAAAAGAGCUUUGGCUAAUCAUAAUACCAUAACUUUGUUUUCUUGAUUAAACUGUCUAAAUAUACCCAGGGGAAAAAACACUUGAACUGUGUUAUAGGAGCCACAGUUUAAGAAUAUCAGAUGUAGUUACAUUUAACACAAGGAUUUUGGCAAAUAGGUAUGAAGUUACUAAAGUUUGAACAAAAGUUAGAUUAAAAUAUUUGACGUAGUGGAUGAGUAAAUUAAUUGUAUACUAUUCUGUUGGUAUUAUGUCACAGCAAGCACCAAACUGAACAAAAUGUUUUCUUUUGGGGCAUUUUUAGGAAGCUGUAUUGGGUGUUAACUGUUUCGUGGUGUGAGUUCUUAGAAAAAAUCAUGGUAGUAAGUUUCAUCAUUUUUAGCGCAGUUAGUGCAUGAGCUGAAUAGUUAAGCAUAUCCAUGUUCAAACGUAAAAGGAAUAGUGGGGAAAGGUAUCCCUUAAAUCUUAUGUAAAUGCAAAUCUAAGUGUGACCAAGUCAUGUCAUUACAACAGAUCUUCUGGUGCAUUAAAAAAAAAAAAAACAGCUUUAGCUCUAGAUUUUGGAGGAUGUCCUGGGUAAAUUCAAGUUUUGAAUUCAGUGUAGUUAUUGAAUUUAAGGUUUUUGUUUUUGUUUCUGUGGUUCUAUGUUAGCCAUUAGGAUUGGCAUACAUGUUCACAUGUGGAAUAGUUGACCUCACCUUCAACCAAGUGUAAAUUUUUUUAUGCUAAUGAACCUGCCUUGUUUUAUUUGGUGCCUGCAACUUUCUUUGUUCCGAUGAUGUUUGUACUUGCUGGGCUAUCAAGUUACGAUGCUUUUGGCGUUUUGCUCCUGUUUUGCUAUUUGACCUUACACCUAGGCCAAGUACCAAUGUUGGCUAUUGCAAGGGAUUGUUUGAUUCUUUCAACAUGCAACCUUAGGGAACAGAAAGGAGCUUUUCAUUUUAAGUUAUGUUGUCAAAGUCAGGUGCAGUGUCUUUAGGGCAGUGAAUCCUGUAAGUUCAAAUUUAUGAUUAGGUGACAAGUUGACAUUGAGAUUGUCCUUUCCCUGAUCAAAAAUGAAUAAAGGCUUUUUAAACAAAA